rnacentral:rRNA from 1 species
ACGAACGCUGGCGGCGUGCCUAAUACAUGCAAGUCGAGCGGACCGACGGGAGCUUGCUCCCUUGGGUCAGCGGCGGACGGGUGAGUAACACGUGGGUAACCUGCCUGUAAGACUGGGAUAACUCCGGGAAACCGGGGCUAAUACCGGAUGCUUGAUUGAACCGCAUGGUUCAAUCAUAAAAGGUGGCUUUUAGCUACCACUUGCAGAUGGACCCGCGGCGCAUUAGCUAGUUGGUGAGGUAACGGCUCACCAAGUCGACGAUGCGUAGCCGACCUGAGAGGGUGAUCGGCCACACUGGGACUGAGACACGGCCCAGACUCCUACGGGAGGCAGCAGUAGGGAAUCUUCCGCAAUGGACGAAAGUCUGACGGAGCAACGCCGCGUGAGUGAUGAAGGUUUUCGGAUCGUAAAACUCUGUUGUUAGGGAAGAACAAGUACCGUUCGAAUAGGGCGGUACCUUGACGGUACCUAACCAGAAAGCCACGGCUAACUACGUGCCAGCCGCCGCUGUAA